rnacentral:misc_RNA from 1 species
AAGGAUCAUUAUUGAAGUUGAACCUGCUCGUAGUUGCUGGCCUUUAAUCGGGCAUGUGCACACUUGCAAUCACUUUACCUUUCCCCUUUGUGAACCUUUGGCUAGUUCGUUUGUUGUGUUUGUGUUGGAAAGCUGACGAUUGUUGAGCGAGGACUUUGCAGUUUCUAACGGAACUGCUUUGUCUGUCGACCUCUGUUUAUAUCUGACGCCUGAAAACCAAUGAUCAUCGCGUUCUAUGCACCCUUUAUAAACUUGAAUGUCUUAGAAUGUUAUGUUUACCUGGUCUUUGUACCUGUAAAUCUAUAUACAACUUUUAGCAACGGAUCUCUUGGCUCUC